rnacentral:rRNA from 1 species
AUACGUAGGGUGCAAGCGUUAAUCGGAAUUACUGGGCGUAAAGCGUGCGCAGGCGGUUUUUUAAGACAGAGGUGAAAUCCCCGGGCUCAACCUGGGAACCGCCUUUGUGACUGCACGGCUACAGUACGGCAGAGGGGGAUGGAAUUCCGCGGGUAGCCGGGAAAUGCGUAGAUAUGCGGAGGAACACCGAUGGCGAAGGCAAUCCCCUGGGCCUGUACUGACGCUCAUGCACGAAAGCGUGGGGAGCAAACAGGAUUAGAUACCCUGGUAGUCCACGCCCUAAACGAUGUCAACUGGUUGUUGGGUCUUCAUUGACUCAGUAACGAAGCUAACGCGUGAAGUUGACCGCCUGGGGAGUACGGCCGCAAGGUUGAAACUCAAAUGAAUUGACGGGG